CUUCCUUGAGCUGGUGAGAUCUCUGAUUUACAUGUUAGAGAUUAGAGUUUGUUCUAUUUAUUCAUAGUAAAUAAAACCUCUGUUUAUCCUCACUGAGCAGUUUAUAGAUAUCUGGACUAACUAUGAUGAAAUACAAGACUACAGUACAAAUAUUUGACAUCUAACCUAAGGUCCAUUGGGCACGGUAGUAAUUCAGAGCCAUAUCCAAAGGGGAAGGGCCAGAGAAAAAUGGAGGGAUAAUAAAGUUAAGUUCAGGAUGAAUCAUUCUUUGCACACACACACACAACACCAAAUCCAAUCAACCUUAUGUAUUCCCACAUGGACACCAAACUCUUCCUUUCUUCAAAUCCAUUUUCACUCCUGAAAUAAUGACAAUAGGUGGGCAGUGGGGAUGCACAAUACCAUUUUUCAUGAUGGAUACUGAUUGCAAGCUCUUAAGUGAUCUACUGAUGGUUACUAUUAAUCUGAACUGGCACACAAUAAAUAUUCACAGAAAUAUCGAUGAAAACCUGGUACCACUUUCUGUUCCAAAUGCUCCCCAAACCAUAUAAUAACAGUUAUUGUGAUCCAGUUGUAAUGGAAAACUGGGUGUGACCUUCUGGCACUUUCCUAAUCUGGUUUGAAUCUUACUUGCAGGACAGAGACUACUUUGUGUCGAUUGAUAAUUAGACAUCUGAUUGAACAAAAAUAAUCUGGAGAUCCCCAAGGCUCCACUCUCAGGCCUCUUCAGUGCAACUUCUACAACCAUAUCCCAUUACCUCAGAUUAUAGAAAACAAAACAUUUUACCAUAAUUAUGUGGAUCACACACAGAUUUACAUAACGAUAUCACCAAAUGACUAUAGUCCCAUGCAACCAGUGAGUAACUGCAAUUAACAAAUCAAUGAUUUGAAGUGCCAAAAUUUCCUAUCGCAAUCUUGUUGUAGUCUGUCCUAAAUUUUAACAUCCACAUUAACACAAUCCCAAAAUCAGCCUACUAUCAUUUUAAAAGAAAAAGAUAGUGUCCAGUCCAGUUCUCAGUCUUUGCACUGGCCUCCUGCAUGUCAAAUAAUUGAUCUUUUACUGAAUAGUUUAGGGCUAAAAUACAUCUCUGAUGUAAUGUCACCUCUCUGGCCUUCUGGGACAGGUCUGCUUACUUUUCCAAGGGUCAAAACUAAAAAUGGAGAAGCAGCAUUCAGUUUUUAAGCACUGCUCCAACUCUCAGUUCUUAAAUAUUAGGAUAAAAACAUUAGUCACUGGUCUUUACUGAAUUAAGUUCUGAGCUAUUUUUUUCAUUUUGUCAUAUCUCACUGUACUGUAACUGUACUGUCAUUUUUUUCUUCUUUUUCUUCUGUUUUGUUCAAUUUUAGCUUAAAUUUAGCUUUUAUUCUUUAAAAUCCUGUUUAGAUGUGUCUUUUUAUAUUGGCUUGUGUCUCUUAUACAAAUUGUCUGAACACCUUUUCAUGUCUUAUGUAUAGUACUUUGAAUUUCUAUGGAAGUUUUUAUUGGAGUUUGUAAACCCCAGUAGACAAUGUGUGUUGUGUAAAGUCACAUCCACAAAAAUACAGAGCAAUUUCCAAAAUGCUUAACUUACUCUGUAAAGACGUAUUUUAAUUUCACAUAAAAAUUAUAUAGGUUUUACAAAUGGAAACAGUUUCACCACAAAAAUAUAUGUAAUAUUUACGCAUUUGUGGAUCCAUUUUUACAUGUAAAAAGGGUUUUACACAUUUGUAGAUUGCUUCCUGUCAGUAUGUGGGCCACGUGACAUUUGUGACUUCCCUCCUGUUUGUUUGUGAACUUUUGUCCAAUUCCUACCGCGGCAGAUCUGUAAAAAGGAAUCUGUAAAUUGAGGUGCAGUUACUAGCUAAACCAGCAGGUGGCGAGAUUCCCUCACAUGAGCUGACAGAACUACAGUCUGUACUGGCUAAAACAAGAGCCAUCUGUACAACAGGAGACAACAAGUAGAAGGACAACACCCAGCUGGCUUCAACCAUGAGGUGAAAGACAAGGUGGAGCAUCUUUAUUUAACCCAAUGGUCGUGAUUCAGGAUCGGGUUCAUCAUUGUCAUCUCCAGCCUCGAUCUCAGCGGGACACUCUGCAUCUCCUCCCUCCUCACAUAGACACACCCUCCGCCGCACCACAGAACCCGCACCACAGCUCCGGGAACAUGGUGACCAUGGCAACCAGGAGCAAAGUGAGACCCAUUGUUACGUGGAGGGGGAUUGAUACAGGCACGGGUUCGAACCUGUGUGCCCCGACCACAGGUCACUGAGCAGUCAGACCACACUGACCAUGGGGUCCAACCACCAUGCACUGAAAACAACACACAGGAUUUGGUCAUUCGACACUUACCUUUCAAGGCAACUUAGCAGCAUACCAGUCUACUUUUUUACAACAAGCCAGGUGUCUCCCACACUGACCUCCUGGUCGUCAUGGAGACAGAGAGGUGGGCAGGUUCCUGGGUUGCAGGAUUUAUGCUGGACUUCCUCAAACUGGCAAUCUGUUCCUUCAGUCUCAGGGAUAAGAGACCUGACACACAACAAUGGCACAAAACAGAAACGCUGCAUGAAGCCCAACUGGACCAGGAGCUCCAAAGGCAGGUGGCCUGGCAGCUGUGAUUGGUGCAGACGAGUUGUCCAUCAGAACAGCUGCAGUUGUUACAGUCCACCUGAUGCCAGCUGCCGGCUGCCCAAAUCUGUCCCAUAGGUGAAGUUGUGCCAGAAACCCCUACUCUGCUUCAACUGUCCAAGGACCCCAGACCCACGGGGAGCCGGAAGACUCCAGUUCCUGCUUCCAACUCAAUCAGCUGACUUCAUUCUUUCAGUUAAACCAAUCAGACUGGACACACGGCAAGACCUCUGGCCUAAUGUUACAGAAGCGAUGCUCCAGAUUUCCUCCCAAGAUGUCUUCACACCACGAGCCGUUGGUCCCAGGGCUGAGGAA